rnacentral:piRNA from 1 species
CAUUAUCUGCUAAACAUGUGAC